rnacentral:rRNA from 1 species
UUGGAGGGCAAGUCUGGUGCCAGCAGCCGCGGUAAUUCCAGCUCCAAUAGCGUAUAUUAAAGUUGUUGCAGUUAAAAAGCUCGUAGUUGAGUUUCGGGGUCAGUAGGUUGGUCAUGCCACUGGUAUGUACUGGUCUCACUGAUUCCUCCUUCCUGAUGAGCCGUAAUGCCAUUAAUUUGGUGUUGCGAGGAAUCUGGACUGUUACUUUGAAAAAAUUAGAGUGUUUAAAGCAAGCUAACGCUUGAAUACAUUAGCAUGGAAUAAUGAAAUAGGACGUUCGAUCCUAUUUUGUUGGUUUCUAGGAUUGACGUAAUGAUUAAUAGGGAUAGUUGGGGGCAUUAGUAUUCAAUUGUCAGAGGUGAAAUUCUUGGAUUUAUUGAAGACUAACUACUGCGAAAGCAUUUGCCAAGGAUGUUUUCAUUAAUCAAGAACGAAAGUUAGGGGAUCGAAGACGAUCAGAUACCGUCGUAGUCUUAACCAUAAACUAUGCCGACUAGGGAUCGGAUGAUGUUAAUUUUUUAAUGACUCAUUCGGCGCCUUACGGGAAAC